rnacentral:lncRNA from 1 species
GUCCUUUAGAAGUGACCACGUCCCCAACAAAGGCGAAGGAACCGCUGCACCCCCUUGCUGGAAGCGCACCUAUGGGGAAAGGUACACGCGAGUGGCCGUGCCCUGCUGCUCUCCUUGGGGCUGCAGCCCAGUUCCCAGGCACAGCUGUCGGCGUGGGACAGCUUGAGGAACACCUCUGCACGGGGAUUGAAGGUAACGCAAUUCCCUAAUAAUGCAUAGAAUUUAUUAAUGAUGGCAGAAAGGUCUCAGGUGCGAGGAAUGCUUUCUUGUUUGUCUCCAGGAUUCGGUGUGGUAGGUUUGAGGCAGGCAGGGGCUGUUGCUAACAGUGCUGUGUAGGCAUACAGUGAUGUGCGUGUGCUGUGCGGUAGGGAUGGGUAGCAGCUUACUGACUGCGCUCACUCUUACGCCACAUUUAAUCCUGCUCUGGUUGCUCCGCUGCGUAUUCAUAACAACAAAAAGGAAACAGAAGCACAGAUGUCUACCUGGCUCUUAAUUGGGUUUCACGCGUCCCCAGUGUAGCAAAUGCAGCGUUAUUUACAGCCAGGCCCUAAGAAUUAGGUGCAUCUGGAGCAGUGGCAGAGCCCGCGCCAGGCUGCGGGCUGAUGGAUGGGUGGAGCGAGGCGCUGCUCCGCUCUGCCCUUCCUGUACCCCCCCGCCUACCUGUCCUCACUGUGCCUCAGACCCAACCGGUACUGCCAGAGGGAACGCUUAUAGAAACGAAAUACACCGGGAAAAAGGAGAAUUUCUGCUCUCCUGCAGCCGCAUCAGCGUUUUCUAAUUGUAUGGCGAUGAUGAUAAUAAAAAG